rnacentral:rRNA from 1 species
AGCGUACACGGUGGAUGCCCUGGCAGUCAGAGGCGAUGAAGGACGUGCUAAUCUGCGAUAAGCGUCGGUAAGGUGAUAUGAACCGUUAUAACCGGCGAUUUCCGAAUGGGGAAACCCAGUGUGUUUCGACACACUAUCAUUAACUGAAUCCAUAGGUUAAUGAGGCGAACCGGGGGAACUGAAACAUCUAAGUACCCCGAGGAAAAGAAAUCAACCGAGAUUCCCCCAGUAGCGGCGAGCGAACGGGGAGCAGCCCAGAGCCUGAAUCAGUGUGUGUGUUAGUGGAAGCGUCUGGAAAGGCGCGCGAUACAGGGUGACAGCCCCGUACACAAAAAUGCACAUGCUGUGAGCUCGAUGAGUAGGGCGGGACACGUGGUAUCCUGUCUGAAUAUGGGGGGACCAUCCUCCAAGGCUAAAUACUCCUGACUGACCGAUAGUGAACCAGUACCGUGAGGGAAAGGCGAAAAGAACCCCGGCGAGGGGAGUGAAAAAGAACCUGAAACCGUGUACGUACAAGCAGUGGGAGCACGCUUAGGCGUGUGACUGCGUACCUUUUGUAUAAUGGGUCAGCGACUUAUAUUCUGUAGCAAGGUUAACCGAAUAGGGGAGCCGAAGGGAAACCGAGUCUUAACUGGGCGUUAAGUUGCAGGGUAUAGACCCGAAACCCGGUGAUCUAGCCAUGGGCAGGUUGAAGGUUGGGUAACACUAACUGGAGGACCGAACCGACUAAUGUUGAAAAAUUAGCGGAUGACUUGUGGCUGGGGGUGAAAGGCCAAUCAAACCGGGAGAUAGCUGGUUCUCCCCGAAAGCUAUUUAGGUAGCGCCUCGUGAAUUCAUCUCCGGGGGUAGAGCACUGUUUCGGCAAGGGGGUCAUCCCGACUUACCAACCCGAUGCAAACUGCGAAUACCGGAGAAUGUUAUCACGGGAGACACACGGCGGGUGCUAACGUCCGUCGUGAAGAGGGAAACAACCCAGACCGCCAGCUAAGGUCCCAAAGUCAUGGUUAAGUGGGAAACGAUGUGGGAAGGCCCAGACAGCCAGGAUGUUGGCUUAGAAGCAGCCAUCAUUUAAAGAAAGCGUAAUAGCUCACUGGUCGAGUCGGCCUGCGCGGAAGAUGUAACGGGGCUAAACCAUGCACCGAAGCUGCGGCAGCGACGCUUAUGCGUUGUUGGGUAGGGGAGCGUUCUGUAAGCCUGUGAAGGUGUGCUGUGAGGCAUGCUGGAGGUAUCAGAAGUGCGAAUGCUGACAUAAGUAACGAUAAAGCGGGUGAAAAGCCCGCUCGCCGGAAGACCAAGGGUUCCUGUCCAACGUUAAUCGGGGCAGGGUGAGUCGACCCCUAAGGCGAGGCCGAAAGGCGUAGUCGAUGGGAAACAGGUUAAUAUUCCUGUACUUGGUGUUACUGCGAAGGGGGGACGGAGAAGGCUAUGUUGGCCGGGCGACGGUUGUCCCGGUUUAAGCGUGUAGGCUGGUUUUCCAGGCAAAUCCGGAAAAUCAAGGCUGAGGCGUGAUGACGAGGCACUACGGUGCUGAAGCAACAAAUGCCCUGCUUCCAGGAAAAGCCUCUAAGCAUCAGGUAACAUCAAAUCGUACCCCAAACCGACACAGGUGGUCAGGUAGAGAAUACCAAGGCGCUUGAGAGAACUCGGGUGAAGGAACUAGGCAAAAUGGUGCCGUAACUUCGGGAGAAGGCACGCUGAUAUGUAGGUGAAGUCCCUCGCGGAUGGAGCUGAAAUCAGUCGAAGAUACCAGCUGGCUGCAACUGUUUAUUAAAAACACAGCACUGUGCAAACACGAAAGUGGACGUAUACGGUGUGACGCCUGCCCGGUGCCGGAAGGUUAAUUGAUGGGGUCAGCGCAAGCGAAGCUCUUGAUCGAAGCCCCGGUAAACGGCGGCCGUAACUAUAACGGUCCUAAGGUAGCGAAAUUCCUUGUCGGGUAAGUUCCGACCUGCACGAAUGGCGUAAUGAUGGCCAGGCUGUCUCCACCCGAGACUCAGUGAAAUUGAACUCGCUGUGAAGAUGCAGUGUACCCGCGGCAAGACGGAAAGACCCCGUGAACCUUUACUAUAGCUUGACACUGAACAUUGAGCCUUGAUGUGUAGGAUAGGUGGGAGGCUUAGAAGUGUGGACGCCAGUCUGCAUGGAGCCGACCUUGAAAUACCACCCUUUAAUGUUUGAUGUUCUAACGUUGACCCGUGAUCCGGGUUGCGGACAGUGUCUGGUGGGUAGUUUGACUGGGGCGGUCUCCUCCUAAAGAGUAACGGAGGAGCACGAAGGUUGGCUAAUCCUGGUCGGACAUCAGGAGGUUAGUGCAAUGGCAUAAGCCAGCUUGACUGCGAGCGUGACGGCGCGAGCAGGUGCGAAAGCAGGUCAUAGUGAUCCGGUGGUUCUGAAUGGAAGGGCCAUCGCUCAACGGAUAAAAGGUACUCCGGGGAUAACAGGCUGAUACCGCCCAAGAGUUCAUAUCGACGGCGGUGUUUGGCACCUCGAUGUCGGCUCAUCACAUCCUGGGGCUGAAGUAGGUCCCAAGGGUAUGGCUGUUCGCCAUUUAAAGUGGUACGCGAGCUGGGUUUAGAACGUCGUGAGACAGUUCGGUCCCUAUCUGCCGUGGGCGCUGGAGAACUGAGGGGGGCUGCUCCUAGUACGAGAGGACCGGAGUGGACGCAUCACUGGUGUUCGGGUUGUCAUGCCAAUGGCACUGCCCGGUAGCUAAAUGCGGAAGAGAUAAGUGCUGAAAGCAUCUAAGCACGAAACUUGCCCCGAGAUGAGUUCU